ensembl:lncRNA
GGACACCCAGGUUAUAGUUAACACUAAAGAGGACACCCAGGUUAGAGUUAACACUAAAGAGAACACCCAGGUUAGAGUUAACACUAAAGGGGACACCCAGGUUAUAGUUAACACUAAAGAGGACACCCAGGUUAGAGUUAACACUAAAGAGGACACCCAGGUUAGAGUUAACACUAAAGAGGACACCCAGGUUAGAGUUAACACUAAAGAGGACACCCAGGUUAGAGUUAACACUAAAGAGGACACCCAGGU